AUUUAAAUAGCUUAUAUUUAGAGCGUAACAUUGAAGAUGUUAGGGAGAUUGUUAAAUCUUUAAAUA
rnacentral:tRNA from 1 species